rnacentral:rRNA from 1 species
UACGGAGGAUGCAAGCGUUAUCCGGAUUCAUUGGGUUUAAAGGGUGCGUAGGCGGCCAGUUAAGUCAGUGGUGAAAUCCUGUCGCUCAACGAUAGAAUUGCCAUUGAUACUGAUUGGCUUGAGUCCAGUUGAGGUAAGCGGAAUGUGUAGUGUAGCGGUGAAAUGCUUAGAUAUUACACAGAACACCGAUUGCGAAGGCAGCUUACUAAACUGUCACUGACGCUGAUGCACGAAAGCGUGGGGAUCGAACAGG